GGAAAGGCCACUGAGAUACACCUGAGGGGGAGUCUGAGGGCAGCAGCACAGUUGGACUGAGCGAAUGAGUGGCUGGCAAUCCACCUGGUUUGGAGGCGACCCCCUGGUUUUGCUGCUCUCUGAAUCCUCUACCCAUCUGGGAAGGUAACAGUGAGACGUACCAUCUGCAGCACACACAGCAGCUAUUGGAGGCUACUACUGACAGUUUGCACUACAGUUUUUUGGUGAGCAAGAAGCCAGGUAUAUUGUACAGUUGAAUAUUUCUGCGCUUGAGCUGCUGCAUUUCACAAUCUGGUCCUUCGACAACCCCCCACGCUUCCUCUUCCAAUUGCCUCCGAGUUCUGGGCUUACUUUUGGCAUAGUCUCCUAGACGCAUUUUGCUGAGGAUGGUAGAGCAGUAAAUGGAACCUCUGAACACUGAUUAUUUUGCUUCUGUGUGACUCAAGAAAGAGAAAGGAGAGAAGAAUUAAGUACAGCUAAAGGAAUUUACAUUUCUUUUGGAGAAGUUUGCAGAGGGACGACACAAACGAUGGGAGGUCUUUGUAUUCCAUUGUUUGCUCUACCUAUCAUACUUCUGAGUCAUAAACAUCCCUUCCUCAAUAAGAUGGACAGUAUGCACUGACUUCAGUUCUAGGUUCUGGGCACUUUGGAAGGAACACACUCUUUUUCUGUCUGAUUGCUGUUACAAAACUUUAAGUGGCUGUGGGUAGUAGAAGGA
rnacentral:lncRNA from 1 species